rnacentral:rRNA from 1 species
UACGAAGGGGGCUAGCGUUGUUCGGAAUUACUGGGCGUAAAGCGCACGUAGGCGGAUUUGUAAGUCAGGGGUGAAAUCCCGGGGCUCAACCCCGGAACUGCCUUUGAUACUGCAAGUCUCGAGUCCGGGAGAGGUGAGUGGAAUUCCGAGUGUAGAGGUGAAAUUCGUAGAUAUUAGGAAGAACACCAGUGGCGAAGGCGGCUCGCUGGCCCGGUAUUGACGCUGAGGUGCGAAAGCGUGGCGAGCAAACAGG